UCUGGGAACCUUAGUCCUGAAAACCCCCUGAGCUUCUCAGCCCUCUUAGGGGGAAGGGCCCUCUGAAUUCAAACGUGGGUGCCGACUGAAGACCAGCCCCAUUGCUGACUAGGACGCGGGCAGGAGGAGGGAAAUCCUGUGCGUCCCCCAGGUGAUGUGGAGUUGAAUUCGGGUGUGCAAGUCAGUCUCCAGGCUGGUCUCCCACCUGCAUUCAGGCCGGCGGCAUAAAAGCGUCCCCAGCCCCCACGCACCCAGCUCCGCCCUCGGGAGAGGCUAUCAGUUGCUAGGUGGGGCGGUCUGCUCGGGAGAUUAGAAGAGGGCGAAGCCUGCCCCAACAAUCCCCAACACAGAGCUCUGAACCUAGACAAAGUGAGGAGUAGGGGGUUGCUGCGGGCUUCGUGAGGUUAAAAAUGCUAAGAGAUGGCGUGAAGACUGAAUUCUCAAAGUAGCAAUCACUCACACCCCUUUUGGGAGUUUCCAGUGAGGGGGAAGCUCGGGCCAGAACUUCCCAGGACUGGAGGCUGACGCUUCACCGCAUUCCAAACGCGGAACCACGUGGGCUGGGCGGGGCAGGCGCCGCGCAGAGGUCAGCUGUGUUGGCCCAGGCAGACUUCCCACCAACACCUGGCGAGCGGGAGCCUUGGACGAAGAGUUUAAGGAGGCUCUCGGAGUGUGGAGGUGCAAGGUCCACCCCUGAAAGCGCGUGUCUCCUUAAAUUUUGUGCUGUUUCUCCUGCUAGUCCCGCCCCAGUCCCAGCCUGAGUCCUGACCACCGUGGGUGCAACUUCUGAAUUACCUGGCUCCUCCACAGCUUUUGGGGUGGCCCGCCCAUGUAGAAGCCCACCUCCCACGAGCAAGGUGAAUCUCCUCUCACUUGAAGAUCAGAAAUUGAGAUCUUUCCUGUUCAAUUAAGGAUACGUUUCCAGUAAGUGCAGACAUGGAAGAAAAUAGCAGACAAACAGUGGCUAAGAUGGCAGACUCUGCAUUUGAUCUCCUUAAAGUGCAGAUCCGACUCUAGAGAGCUAUGCUGGGCCUGGGACUUUGCACUUGUAACUAGUCACCAGAUGAUGCUACUGUCCUUGGUCAGGAACCACAGGAGUUACUUAGUUCCUGUAAAGAGGAGACCUCGAACUCAGGACUGGCUGCACAAUUUGCAGGUUCCAAUACAGAAUGAAAAGAUCAAACACAAGGUUAAAUGAAUAACUGAAUGACUGAAUGAAUACAUAAUCACUGAAUAAGGCGGGACAAUGUGUAUGUUAAUCCUGAAAGGCUGGAAAUUUCUGCUUCCUUUUAAAGGUGUCUUCCGCUGGCCAGAGAGCUACUAUUUGCUGCUGACACAAUGGCCUGACGUACCCCUGCCUCAGCAGCCAGGAGCGGGAAGUGAGGGCUGAGCUGGCCAGUCCCUUGUGACAGUGAGUCCUGCAGCCUUGAAACCUGAGGAGAUGGCUUGAAGUCAGUGCUUGCCGACGCUUCCCCACUGGGGGUGAAUAUUAGGCUAUGAAUCUUUACUGCCCUGAACAUGGGACUCCUUAUAGUAGAUACAUGGGUAACAGAGUCAGUGUGGGGACUGCUCUAGGGAGGAUGGACAUGGGGGUGCAGCUGGAGUGGAGGGAGCCUCUCCCUCAGGCUCAGAGUUGAUGAAAUGAUGGGCAGUUCUCUGCCCUUUAUGGGUUCAUGAUAACACCUGCCAAUUCCCUUGUUCAUUCAACAAAUGUUUAUUGAGCUCCUACUUUGUGCAGACCCACACUGUGCUGGUUGCCUGUGAUGUGGCAGUGAAUGAGAUGUGGUCCUUGACCUCCCUCAGGUCACCUGGGCAACAUUUCGUUGUUUCUAAAAAACUCGUCAGGAUCUUAAGCAAUCCUUGUUACAAUCCUGUGAGUCCCAUGAGAGCAUUACUGUUGUUACCAUUUGAUGGAUGGGGAAAAAAGGUUAGUUAAUUUGCUUAAGGGGAAGCAAGAUAAAACCAGCAACCGGGUCUUGUUUAUCCUUUUGCUGAGCCCCCACCAAGGGGAGUCAGGGAAGUGGUACUAUAUUGUUUUUUAAUGGUUCACCCUUACCAUUAGAGUCGGAAAGUAAAACUUGACAAAGUAGGGAAGGCUUCAUGGAACCCCUGACCUUAUUUUCCCUAUUCAUUAUUUCAUUUUUAGUGCCUUAGUCCUGAAUAGAACCAACACCCUUGACAGGCAAAAAGGUAGAUCAGAGACCUAUUUGAAGUUCUUGCCAUUCACCCCUAAUGUCACACUUUGGUGCCCACCCUGAUCAGUUUUUCUUAGAAGACCUCACUGGCUGGACGCAAACCCAACUUGGUUUGGAGUUGAAACACCUGCUUGGUUACACGUACACUUCAUAAUACUCAGAAUCUUACUCUUCUAUGCUUGUGCUUCUGUGCUUCCUUCCUCACCAAAGAGCACCCUGUUCCCCAUGCAGGUAAUCAAUAAACCCUAACUGAUUACUUGAUUGGGAACAACAAAUAUAUAGUUGAAGUGCCUGGAAAUACGAUCUCCCAAAGGCUGCCAGCCAGCCAGGGGCUCAAGGGACAGGUGUUUUCUGAUGGAUGUGCUUGUUCAUCUCCAAGGCAAAGUUUAAAGUGAGUGACUGAGCAUUAUUUUAGAACAGCGUAAAAUUGGAAACAUGCAAAUACUCAGUGAUAGGGGAAUAACUAAGCUAUAUUAAGGUUAUAUUAUGAUUCUGGAAGACUCUUUAGUUUUUAAAAGUGAUCUUAAAAUGCCACACAGAGAAAUGUGUACCAGGUACCAAAGUAAAGAAAAGCAGAAUCUGCAAAGAACAGAGAGGUAUACAUACAUACACUUCAAAAGAUGAGAAGAAAACUUAACUGUUUGUGUGUAUAUGGAGGGGGAAAAGUUCAUUAAGCCAAGAGGAUGGUUGUAGUAGGGUCGAAUCUGUCACACUGUGUGGUGUAAGGGGGAGAGUCCCUUGGACUUAGAUGGCCCAGGGACCCUCAUGUUGUCAAUUCUGGACCAUGUGAUCUUGAACCAUCCACUAUCCUGAUCUUUAGUUUGUUAUCUGUCAAGUGUGAAUUUUACACUUGUCCUGUCUCACAAGGUAGGAUGUAAGGCCAUUUCGAGUUUUUAUUUACCCCCCCCCCUUAAUAUGAUAUUUAUAGAUUUCCAUGUAGAAGUAAUAAUGUGUUGGACUGUAAGGUCCUAUUCACACCUGGUCCAGAAACUACAAAAUAUACAGCAUAUAAAUGUUAUUAUCUUUCUGAAAUCCAAAAAGCUUUGCAAAACCCCAUGGGUUUUGAGUUAAGGAAUCAUGGAUCUGUACUAAGCAUGUUAGACAUAUCAUUUUAUUUAACUUAACCUUCACAAUAAUCCUACAGAGUAGGUUUUAUCAUUCCCAUUUUACAGAUGAGAAAACUUGUGUGUAUAGAGAUUAAUUUGCCUCCCAAUUAAUAAGUGGGCCAGUUCAGAUCAGAAGCAUUCAAAGCCCAUGGUUUUGGCCAUGAUGAGCAUGCCAACAGGAGCCCAAAAAUGCUUGCUGGAGUGACAUCUGCUUGCAUUUGACUUGUGAGACUACGAGAAUAUUUCUCCUAAUAUCUGACACUGAGUGCAUGCCAACCACUUGUCAAGCGUUGUCUCAUCUGAUCUCCACAUCUCUGGGAGAUUUGGCCUAGUAUUAGCCAAAACGGAGGCUUAGAUAGGUUAUAUAACAUGCCCAAGUAAGUCAGGGACCUGGGAUUCAAACUCAGGUCUAAAGACUUCAAAGUCAGAGAUGUUGCAUCUUUCAUGAG